rnacentral:rRNA from 1 species
UACGGGGGGGGCAAGCGUUGUUCGGAAUUACUGGGCGUAAAGGGUUCGUAGGUGGCCUGCUAAGUCAGACGUGAAAUCCCUCAGCUUAACUGGGGAACUGCGUCUGAGACUGGUGGCUUGAGUGAGCCGGAGAGGGUGGCGGAAUUCCCCAAUAGAGGUGAAAGUUCGUAGAUAUGGGGAGGAACACCGGUGGCGAAGGCGGCCACCUGGACGGUCACUGACGCUGAGACGCGAAAGCGUGGGUAGCAAACAGG